UUGGAGGUGCUGGCUGAUAGGGUAGGAUCUACCCACAGCAUAGGCAGCAGUAACGCAACCUCUCUAACACUGUCCUACCAACAUCCUGCCCUGGAGGGCCCACUUCCCAGGCUCAGAGGAUAAUUCAGUCUCCAUGGCCCAGACUGUCCUUGGACUCU
rnacentral:sRNA from 1 species